rnacentral:rRNA from 1 species
CGUAAGCGAUGGAUAACAGGUUUAGAUUCCUGUACCACGCAUUAUCAGAACUGUAGGGACGCAUGUGGAAAGCACGGGCCGGGAAUGGAAAGACCGGUACAAGCGGGGUAGGUGUACAAUAGGCAAAUCCGUUGUAUAAUCCGAAGACGUGAUGUGGAGCGAAAUAAAGUAGCAAAGCGUGUGAGCCAUGUGCCGAGAAAAGCUGCUAUUGUGUAAUGCGUGCCCGUACCGUAAACCGACACAGGUGGAUGAGGAGAGAAUCCUAAGGCCGACGGAAGAAGCAUUGUUAAGGAAUUCGGCAAAAUGACCCCGUAACUUCGGGAGAAGGGGUGCCUGCGAGAGCAGGCCGCAGAGAAUAGGCUCAAGCAACUGUUUAGCAAAAACACAGGUCUAUGCGAAACCGAAAGGUGAAGUAUAUGGGCUGACGCCUGCCCGGUGCUGGAAGGUUAAGAGGAGAGGUUAGCGUAAGCGAAGCUUUGAAUUUAAGCCCCAGUAAACGGCGGCCGUAACGAUAACGGUCCUAAGGUAGCGAAAUUCCUUGUCGGGUAAGUUCCGACCCGCACGAAAGGCGUAAUGAUUUGAGCACUGUCUCGACAAUGCAUCCGGUGAAAUUGAAGUACCAGUGAAGAUGCUGGUUACCCGCGCCAGGACGGAAAGACCCCAUGGAGCUUUACUCCAGUUUGAUACUGGGAUUCGGUACUGCAUGUACAGGAUAGGUGGGAGACGAAGAAGGAUGGACGCCAGUCUGUCCGGAGUCGCUGUUGGGAUACCACCCCUGUAGUACUGGGUUUCUAACCAGUUGCCAUGAACUGGCAAUGGGACAAUGUCAGGCGGGGAGUUUGACUGGGGCGGUCGCCUCCGAAAGGGUAUCGGAGGCGCUCAAAGGUUCCCUCAGAAUGGUUGGAAACCAUUUGAAGAGUGCAAAGGCAGAAGGGAGCUUGACUGCGACACCGACGGGUGGAGCAGGUACGAAAGUAGGACUUAGUGAUCCGGUGGUAUAAAGUGGGAUUGCCAUCGCUCAACGGAUAAAAGCUACCCUGGGAUAACAGGCUUAUCACUCCCAAGAGUUCACAUCGACGGAGUGGUUUGGCACCUCGAUGUCGGCUCAUCGCAUCCUGGGGCUGUAGCAGGUCCCAAGGGUUGGGCUGUUCGCCCAUUAAAGCGGUACGCGAGCUGGGUUCAGAACGUCGUGAGACAGUUCGGUCCCUAUCCGGCGCGGGCGGAGGAUAUUUGAGAGGAGCUGUCCUUAGUACGAGAGGACCGGGAUGGACGGACCACUGGUGUAUCUGUUGUCGACCAACGGCAUGGCAGAGUAGCCAAGUCUGGAAGGGAUAAACGCUGAAGGCAUCUAAGCGUGAAGCCCCCCUCAAGAUGAGAUAUCCCUCCUUCGGGAGUAAGACCCCUUGAAGACUACAAGGUAGAUAGGGCAGAGGUGGAAGCAUGGCAACAUGUGGAGCUGACUGUUACUAAUAGGUCGAGGGCC